AUGUGAAAGCAUGCGACUCUUCGGAGGCGUUACACAGGUGCUGCAUGGCCGUCGUCAGCUCGUGUCGUGAGAUGUUUGGUUAAGUCCCGCAACGAGCGCAACCCCUAUUUCCAGUAGCCAGCAAGAAAGAUGGGAACUCUGGAGAGACUGCCCGGGAUAACUGGGAGGAAGGCGGGGAUGACGUCAAAUCAUCAUGCCCCUUAUGAUCAGGGCUACACACGUGCUACAAUGGCGUAAACAAAGGGAAGCGAAGUGGUGACACGAAGCAAAUCCGAAAAACAACGUCUCAGUUCGGAUUGUAGUCUGCAACUCGACUACAUGAAGCUGGAAUCGCUAGUAAUCGCGAAUCAGAAUGUCGCGGUGAAUACGUUCCCGGGUCUUGUACACACCGCCCGUCACACCAUGGGAGUCGGAAAUGCCCGAAGUCAGUGACCCAACCGAGAGGAGGGAGCUGCCGAAGGUGGAGCCGGUAACUGGGGUGAAGUCGUAACAAGGUAGCCGUAUCGGAAGGUGCGGCUGGAUCACCUCCUU
rnacentral:rRNA from 1 species